rnacentral:rRNA from 1 species
AAAACGGGUGGCAGCAGUGGGGAAUAUUGCACAAUGGGGGAAACCCUGAUGCAGCGACGCCGCGUGAGUGAAGAAGUAUUUCGGUAUGUAAAGCUCUAUCAGCAGGGAAGAAAAUGACGGUACCUGAUUAAGAAGCACCGGCUAACUACGUGCCAGCAGCCGCGGUAAUACGGAGGGGGCAAGCGUGAUCCGGAUGUACUGGGUGUAAAGGGAGCGGAGACGGCAGCGCAAGUCUGAAGUGAAAUGCCGGGGCUUAACCCCGGAACUGCUUUGGAAACUGGGCAGCUAGAGUGCAGGAGAGGUAAGUGGAAUUCCUAGUGUAGCGGUGAAAUGCGUAGAUAUUAGGAGGAACACCAGUGGCGAAGGCGGCUUACUGGACUGUAACUGACGGUCACGCUACAAAGCGUGGGGAGCAAACAGGAUUAGAUACCCUAGUAGUC